AGCAAGCUCCAGUAAUCCUCCUGUCUCUGAUCCCCACAGCAGCUCGAGUGCAGGAGUAUGUGGCCACGUCAGGUGUUUCCAUGAGUAUAGAAGAUUUGAACUCGGGUCCCCACACUUGAACAACCGUCUUUCGCUGAGCUGUGUCCUCAGCCCUAAGAACUCUUUAUUAAGCUCUGAAGGGGAAUGUUGUAGAACAAAGGUAGGAGCCAGGGUACCUGAAGUCCCGGGGGAUUUGCUUCCUGUCCACCAUGGGGUGAACAGCUUUGCUUUAUCCCAUACUCCCUUCUGUGACGUUUUGCCUCAGUAUGGCCCCCAACAAGGUUGGUUCUCAGCCUUCCUAAUGCUGCGACCCUUUAAUAUAGUUCCUCAUAUUGUGGUAACCCCCAAUUAUAAAACUAUUUUGUUGUUACAUCAUAACUGUAAUUUUGCUCCUGUGUAAUGUAGAUGUCUGAUAUGCAAGGUAUCUGAAAUCUGAUAUCUAAAACAAAGCUGGUUGGUCAUAAUCUGGAACUGUGUUAGGAAACCGGUUCUGAAACCAUGACCCUAAAUCAAUCUUUCCUACAUUAGGUGAUCUGCAUUUGGCAUUUUGUCAUAGUAACAGAGAGGUGACUAAAACACACAGAAAGUACAUCAGUGCUUACUCCAUAGUUGGAGAGAAGGACAUAAGGAAUAAAGAGUGAGUGCUACUAAGUUUGUGCCUUCCUGGGAGAUGAUGAAAUAUUCUGGAAUUAAAGACUGGCAGUGGCUACACAACUUUGUCAGUAUAUUAAAAACUAAGAAAUUAUCUCCUUAAAAAAGAUGAGUUCUGGGGCAUGUUAACUUAUCUCAGUAAAGCUGGUCUUUAAAGUUCUCACGUAGAGGAGAUGGGAAACAGAGAGGGGGUUCAGUAGGUGAUGACACUUGCUGUGGAACUUGAGGACCACAGUACCCACAUAAAAAGCAAAGUGUGGGUGCAUGCACCUGUGACUCCAGCAUUAUGAGUGAGGUAGAAAAGGACGAUCACUGGGCCUGCUCACACAACCCAAGCUGAAAAACAGUAAGAUUUACAUUUGAUGAGAGACUGCCUCAGAGGG
rnacentral:sRNA from 1 species